GUGUUGGUGGUUCAGUAGUAGAAUUCUUGCCUUCCAGGCCGGAGACCCAGGUUUGAGUCCCAGCCAAUGCA
rnacentral:tRNA from 1 species